AACAUCGAUACAAAGGAAAAGCGUGUGUGUUCACGCAUACUGUAAAUGCAAACAAGGAAAUUGUGGAACAUGUUCACACACUCUGGCUGUAAAAGUAGACCUGGGAGGAAAAGUGCCCCCGGUGUGGGGCUCGAACUCACAACCACCAGAACACUAGCCCGGCGCUCUAACCAACUAAGCUGACCGGGCAGCUAGUUCUAACCCACACACACUACCCUCCCCCCAUUUACCGGUUAAGGCUGGUGGAGGGUCUCCUGCUAUUUACCGUUGACACCAUUAAAGUAUUCUGAUUGAUGGAGAUAAGGAAGUCCACUUAUAAUUGUCUUCAACAAGCCUACCGCCACAGGGGACCUAGCAUAAGACCGGAAACCGCCCCCCCCCCCACACACACACAUGAUAUUUGCCAGUCCAGGCAAUGUCAACCGCAAGAGAAAACCGGUGAUGACAAGUUUUACAAAUAAUCGGAAAGUGUGGUCUUUUGAAGAGAGUUCUUGAAGUUGUUCAGCAUGUUUUUUUUGAUGGAUUCUUG